rfam:Oryza sativa Japonica Group DNA, chromosome 9, cultivar: Nipponbare, complete sequence.
AGCAUGUGAACACUGGGUUUCCGUAUUCAAUUUUGACUGUCCGUUAUAAUUUGUAUUUUUAUUAUUAUUAGAUGAUAAAACAUGAUUAAUAUUUUAUACGUGACUUGUCUUUUUAUUAUUUUCAUAAUUUUUUCAAAUAAGACGGACGGUCAAACGUUGGGCACGGAAAUCAGGGUUUGUCUUUUU